UAAGCUAAUACAUAAAAAUGGAGGAGGAAUCUAGCAAGAAAAGCUGUGCUGUUUGGAUCACUAGGAGUUGGAGGAGAUCAGACUGGAAUUAAAAGAGAGUGAACAUCAGACUUGUAUUCAUCAGGUGGACACAGUUGCAAAUGAAUGUUGAUACCAGUGGAUGUGUCAACGCCACCUCAGCCUGACACACCAAACAUGCUGCCAGGGGAAAAACAGGAUGGGCCACUGCCGAUGUCGU